rnacentral:lncRNA from 1 species
UAAUACUUCACCUGAAAAUAGAAUACAUGAAGCGAAGAAGCAAGGCAAGCAAGAGAACCCGAUGAAGAGCCUAUUUGUUGAGAUAAGAAAUUCCAAGUGGCGUUGUACAAUCUGCAAUGUAAGUUGCACCAGUGAGGGAGACAUGGCCUGUCAUCUUAAAGGGAAUAAGCACUUGGAUGUUAGCAUUUCCAAGUGGCGUUGUACAAUCUGCAAUGUAAAUUGUACCAGUGAGGGAGACAUGGCCUGUCAUCUUAAAGGGAAUAAGCACUUGGAUGUUAGCAUUUCCAAGUGGCAGUGCACCAUCUGUAAUGUAAAUUGUACCAGUGAGGGAGACUUGGCCUGUCAUCUUAAAGGGAAUAAGCACUUGGCUGUUAGCAUUUCCAAGUGGCAGUGCACCAUUUGUAAUGUAAAUUGCACCAGUGAGGGAGACAUCCACUGUCACCUUAAUGGGAAUAAGCACUUGGCUAGGAUGCGAGAAUUGGAUGGUCUUGGAG